GGAGCUUUAAACCCAAUUAUAUUCCUAGCCACUAUAACCAUUCAAUCUCUUAGGCCCUAUAUACUUGGUUUUAGGUUGGGGCGACCACGGAGUAAAACCAAACCUCCAUGAUGUACGGAACAACCUCCUCAUCUAAGAGCUACAGCUCUAAGAAUUAGCACACUAUCAUAAAAUGACCCAUUAUUGAUCAACGAACCAAGUUACCCUGGGGAUAACAGCGCAAUCCAUUUUAAGAGCCCCUAUCGACAAAU
rnacentral:rRNA from 1 species